rnacentral:misc_RNA from 1 species
AGGUGCCAUUGUGCGAUAAAAAUUAGCGGACAAUAAAGUGGAAGCAGUAUGAGUUUCACUGGGGCUUCCGUGGGUUCUGUUGCCGGAACUGCUCGAAGGGCAUUUGAGUUUGGACAGACUUAUGUGGUGAAGCCCAAAGGUAAACACCAGGCAACCAUUGUCUGGCUGCAUGGCCUUGGGGACAAUGGUUCGAGCUGGUCCAACCUCUUGGAGACCCUUCCUCUUCCCAAUAUCAAAUGGAUCUGCCCAACUGCCCCCCAACGACCAAUAACUUUAUUCGGAGGCUUCCCUUCUACUGCCUGGUUUGAUGUCAAUGACCUUUCUGAAAAUGCUAUUGACGAUAACGAAGGUUUGGAUGCUUCAGCAGCAUAUGUGGCGAGUUUGUUGGCUACAGAGCCCUCUCAUAUCAAACUUGGGGUCGGAGGCUUCAGCAUGGGCGCAGCAACCUCCCUUUACUCUGCCACUUGCUUCGUCCGUGGGAAGUAUGAGAAUGGCAACUCGUACCCUGUCAAUCUGAGUGCAGCUGUUGGAUUAAGUGGCUGGCUUCCCUGUGCAAAGACUCUUACUAGCAAAUUAGAAGGGGUAGAGGGGGCUGUAAACCGUGCUACAUCAUUGCCCAUUCUUCUUUGUCAUGGCAAAGGAGAUGAUGUUGUUCCAUAUAACUAUGGUGAGAAGUCUUCUCAGAAGUUACGUUCAUGCGGAUUUCAAGAUGUGGCAUUCAAAUCCUACACCGCACUUGGCCACUAUACAAUCCCAGAGGAGAUGGAUGAAGUUUGUAGUUGGCUAACUUCAAAGUUGGGACUUGAGGGAAAAUCAUAAGUUGUACUUCUGUUGGGCAACUUUCAUUGCACAAAUAUGGAGAAUCAGCAUUAUCAUUGUUAAUGUGUUGAAGCAGCACUGAAAAAAUUUGCAGAAACGCGAAGAUUGACUGAUUCACCUUCUAAUAUGUCGCGUCUUUACAUUGUUCAGCGGCCAUUUUGUGCCUACUUCUGUAUUAUCUAAUCACAACGAUAACGAUGUUUUGGGUGUUUAUUCUUAAAUACCAUUUGAUGAGAGACAAAAUUAUGUCCAUUGACAUGAUUUACUUUGGCAAUUUAGU